rnacentral:rRNA from 1 species
GUGAGGAAUAUUGCGCAAUGGAGGCAACUCUGACGCAGCCAAGCCGCGUGCAGGAAGAAGGCGCUACGCGUUGUAAACUGCUUUUAACCGGGAAGAAACCCCAGGACGUGUCCUGGGUUGACGGUACCGGAGGAAUAAGCACCGGCUAACUUCGUGCCAGCAGCCGCGGUAAUACGAAGGGUGCAAGCGUUAUCCGGAUUCAUUGGGUUUAAAGGGUGCGUAGGCGGAGCGUUAAGUCAGUGGUGAAAUCCUGCAGCUUAACUGUAGACUUGCCAUUGAUACUGGCGCUCUUGAGUGCGCUUGAAGUGGGCGGAAUGUGCCGUGUAGCGGUGAAAUGCUUAGAUAUGGCACAGAACACCAAUUGCGAAGGCAGCUCACUAAGGCGAUACUGACGCUGAGGCACGAAAGCGUGGGGAUCGAACAGGAUUAGAUACCCGAGUAGUCC